rnacentral:rRNA from 1 species
UGUAGGUGGCUCAUUAAGUCACAUGUGAAAUCCCCGGGCUUAACCUGGGAACUGCAUGUGAUACUGGUGGUGCUAGAAUAUGUGAGAGGGAAGUAGAAUUCCAGGUGUAGCGGUGAAAUGCGUAGAGAUCUGGAGGAAUACCGAUGGCGAAGGCAGCUUCCUGGCAUAAUAUUGACACUGAGAUUCGAAAGCGUGGGUAGCAAACAGGAUUAGAUACCCUGGUAGUCCACGCCGUAAACGAUGUCUACUAGCCGUUGGGGUCCUUGAGACUUUAGUGGCGCAGUUAACGCGAUAAGUAGACCGCCUGGGGAGUACGGCCGCAAGGUUAAAACUCAAAUGAAUUGACGGGGGCCCGCACAAGCGGUGGAGCAUGUGGUUUAAUUCGAUGCAACGCGAAGAACCUUACCUGGUCUUGACAUAGUGAGAAUCUUUCAGAGAUGAGAGAGUGCCUUCGGGAAUUCACAUACAGGUGCUGCAUGGCUGUCGUCAGCUCGUGUCGUGAGAUGUUGGGUUAAGUCCCGCAACGAGCGCAACCCUUUUCCUUAUUUGCCAGCGGGUUAAGCCGGGAACUUUAAGGAUACUGCCAGUGACAAACUGGAGGAAGGCGGGGACGACGUCAAGUCAUCAUGGCCCUUACGACCAGGGCUACACACGUGCUACAAUGGUAGGUACAGAGGGUUGCUACACAGCGAUGUGAUGCUAAUCUCAAAAAGCCUAUCGUAGUCCGGAUUGGAGUCUGCAACUCGACUCCAUGAAGUCGGAAUCGCUAGU